rnacentral:rRNA from 1 species
CACGGGGGUUGGAGGGCAAGUCUGGUGCCAGCAGCCGCGGUAAUUCCAGCUCCAAUAGCGUAUAUUAAAGUUGUUGCAGUUAAAAAGCUCGUAGUUGAAUUUCGGGAUCAGUAGGUCGGUCAUGCCUAUGGUAUGUACUGGCUUUACUGGUUCCUCCUUCUUGAUGAUCUGUAAUGUCAUUAAUUUGGUGUUGCAGGGAGUCAGGACUGUUACUUUGAAAAAAUUAGAGUGUUUAAAGCAGGCAUACGCUUGAAUACAUUAGCAUGGAAUAAUGAAAUAGGACGUUCGAUCCUAUUUUGUUGGUUUCUAGGAUUGACGUAAUGAUUAAUAGGGAUAGUUGGGGGCAUUAGUAUUCAAUUGUCAGAGGUGAAAUUCUUGGAUUU